AAUAUUAGUUAAUAUAAAGACUUUAAUAUAAUUUAAAUUUAACCACGACCCAAAGCUCACAACCCCACAAUUUACAAAUCAAAUUCUAAGUCACUCUCUCACAGCCCUCAAUCAUCCUUUCCAAAUGAUUUGUGUUACAACCAGCACCCAGUUCGUCUUUAUCUUAUCAUAGUCCAAUAGCACGUCGCAUUGUUGGUGACUAAGUAGCCCAACUUAUCACCUCGUCAGCUAGUAGCCAAGCUCGCGGCCACCAUAAUUGGUAGCUAAGACGUAUCAUUGCUAUCAUAAAGUUGCAUGUUCUAUCAUAAACAAUACGUCAUACACCUAUGAUGGACAUGUCAUAUAUCUUUCAAUUAACAAAUAGAUAUGUCACAAACUGUCAUAUCGGAUUUAUGUGAUUCAUGAAAUCGACUUAUCAUAUACUUUUGAAUAGUCAAAUUUCGAGAUAUUUAGAGUUUCAAUAUGUGAGAUCUAUGUUAUUCCCUCCCCCCAAGCCCCCCAGUGCUCACAACCCACUCGUCGGUGUUAUGUCAUUCUCCCACAAGAAAUCCCUAUUCAAACUUAGUGUUGCAUUCUUAUCCAUAAUGAAAUUUUUUUUGUUCAUAGGAAGGGAAAGUGGUCCCUAGUCCCCUGUAGUUGGUGGAUAGUGAUAUUGCAUAUUAAUUUAUUCGCAAUGUGAUAAAUAUGCAAAUGAAUUUUCAAAAUCUAGGAUGUAAUUUUAUAUUUGUCUUUAUUUUUGUAUAUAUUGUAUUUAUUUUUUUCUAUUGCAAAAUAUCCCAAGUUGUAACAAAUCGAAUACGACAUUAUUAUUAUUACCAUACUACUCAUUUUUUGCACGAUCUCUUUCAUAUAUGAUUUCAAAAUAGAUAAACGAGGAUGAUUUUGAUUUUCUUUUUUAAGUUUUUGUUAUUCAUCUUACAAAUGGAGAAUUUGAUUUUCAUAUAAUAAAGUUGGUUACUUUUCUGUUACUGAAGAAUGGGGAAUCUUAAAAAAUGAGGAUUUUAAUAUCUUAUUUUCUAACCAAAAACAAAGAAUCUUCAUACAUUUUUUUUUUCAAUUACAUUCAAUUAUGUAGAAAAUAAAAAAAAAAAUUGAGAGGCAAAUUGGCAAUGAUGUAUUGGAAUUUUUUUAAAAAACUAUAAAGAUGUAGAGUAGUGCCACACUGCCACACAUCCAAAAAUUUUCAUCCAAAAUGUUACACAUCCUAAAUUUUUUAUCCUAUAAAAUUAUCUCAAAUAAUUUAGCAUUCAUCAAUUGAUUUAUGAAAAAAUAUGAUUCAUUCACUUGAAUCUUGUAAAGGAUUACCAAUCACAACACAUCAUUUGGGAUGAAAUUGAAAUAAAAAAAAUUUAAAAUACCU
rnacentral:lncRNA from 1 species